CCGGCGGGCUGGGAAGAUGGCGGCGCAAAGCCUGGCGGCCGCCGCAAACCUACCCCGGAGCGUCCGGGGCGCGCGGGCCGGGGCCGGGGCCGGGCCAUGAGCGCGCCGCCCUCUCGUGCCCGAGCCGCGGAGCCCGCCCGCGCCCCUCGCCAUGGCGCGGCUCGCGGACUACUUCGUGCUGGUGGCGUUCGGGCCGCACCCGCGCGGGAGUGGGGAAGGCCAGGGCCAGAUCCUGCAGCGCUUCCCGGAGAAGGACUGGGAGGACAACCCAUUCCCUCAGGGUAUCGAGCUGUUCUGCCAGCCCAGCGGGUGGCAGCUGUGUCCUGAGCGGAACCCGCCCACCUUCUUCGUCGCUGUCCUCACUGACAUCAACUCUGAGCGGCACUACUGUGCCUGCCUGACCUUCUGGGAGCCUGUGGAGCCCACGCAGGAAGGUCCGUGCGCCCAGGAUGGCGCCGAGCGGGAUGAGGAGGCCGAUGAGGGGGGCCCGGGGGCACUGCCCGCCCCGACGCCUGGCCCGCCCGGCCAGCUGUUUGCUCCAAAGACGCUGGUGUUGGUGUCACGGCUGGACCACGUGGAGGUGUUCAGGAACAGCCUCGGCCUCAUUUACACCAUCCACGUAGAGGGUCUGAACGUGGGCCUGGAGAACGUGGUCGGGAACCUGCUGACCUGCGUCAUCCCCUUGGCCGGGGGCUCGCAGAGAACCAUCUCUUUGGGCGCUGGGGACCGGCAGGUCAUUCAGACCCCGCUCAGCGACUCGCUGCCCAUCAGCCGCUGCAGCGUGGCCCUGUUGUUCCGCCAGCUGGGCAUCACCAACGUGCUGUCUCUGUUCUGCGCGGCGCUUACCGAGCACAAGGUGCUCUUCCUGUCUCGGAGCUACCAGCGGCUCUCGGAUGCCUGCCGGGGACUCCUGGCGCUGCUGUUCCCGCUCAGAUACAGCUUCACCUACGUGCCCAUCCUGCCGGCACAGCUCCUGGAGGUGCUCAGCACGCCCACGCCCUUCAUCAUCGGAGUCAACGCCGCCUUCCAGGCAGAGGCCCAGGAGCUGCUGGACGUGAUUGUUGCUGAUCUGGAUGGCGGGACGGUGACUGUCCCCGAGUGUGUACACAUUCCUCCCCUGCCUGAGCCACUGCAGAGUCAGACACACAGCAUCCUGAGCAUGGUCCUGGAUCCGGAGCUGGAGCUGGCUGAUCUUGCCUUCCCUCCACCUACGACGUCCAUUUCCUCCCUGAAGAUGCAGGACAAGGAGCUGCGCGCUGUCUUCCUGCGGCUCUUUGCUCAGCUCCUGCAAGGCUACCGUUGGUGUCUGCACACGGUCCGCAUCCACCCGGAGCCCGUCAUCCGCUUCCAUAAGGCAGCUUUCCUGGGUCAGCGCGGGCUGGUGGAGGAUGAUUUCCUGAUGAAGGUGCUGGAGGGCAUGGCCUUCGCAGGCUUCGUGUCAGAACGCGGGGUCCCCUACCGCCCGACGGACCUGUUUGAUGAGCUGGUGGCCCAUGAAGUCGUUCGGAUGCGGGCAGACGAGAACCACCCCCAGCGAGUUCUGCGUCACGUCAAGGAACUGGCCGAGCAGCUCUACAAGAACGAGAACCCGUACCCAGCUGUGGCUAUGCACAAGGUGCAGCGGCCGGGCGAGGCCAGCCACCUGCGGCGGGCACCCCGGCCCUUCCCCCGGCUGGACGAGGGCAUGGUGCAGUGGAUCGUGGAUCAGGCCGCCGCCAAGAUGCAGGGCGCGCCCCCAGCUGUGAAGGCUGAGAAGAGGACCACUGUGCCCUCAGGGCCGCCCAUGACGGCCAUCGUGGAGCGGAGUGGCGGGCUGCAUGGCAACAGCGCGCGCCGGCUGGAGGUGGUCCGGAACUGCAUCUCCUACGUGUUCGAGGGGAAGAUGCUGGAGGCCAAGAAGCUGCUCCCAGCUGUGCUGAGGGCCCUGAAGGGGCGCGCGGCCCGCCGCUGCCUUGCCCAGGAGCUGCACCUGCACGCGCAGCAGAGCCGGGCCGUCCUGGACCACCAGCAGUUCGACUUCGUGGUCCGCAUGAUGAACUGCUGUCUGCAGGACUGCACCUCCCUGGAUGAGCACGGCAUCGCAGCUGCCCUUGCUGCCCCUGGUCACUGCUUCUGCCGGAAGCUGAGCCCAAGGGUGACGCAGUUUGCCUACAGCUGCGUGCAGGAGCACAGUGGUCUGGAGCACACCGCAGUUCUGGGAGGCCAUGUUCUUAGCGGGGACGUGCAGACCACAUCCGGGCCCUUUACCUGGAGGCUGCCUGAGGACCGAGACUCCUUCUCGUGUGCAGGGGAGGCCCCCGUGCAGGACGAGCGCUCUGCCCUGGACGUGGCGUCUGAGCAGAGGCGCCUGGGCCCCACGCUGAGCCGGGAGAAGCAGCAGGGAGUUGGUGCAGAAGGAGGAGAGCACCGUCUUCAGCCAGGCAUCCACUACGCCAACCGCAUGAGCUACCUGCUUCUGCCCUGGACAGCAGCAAGAGCCCCUGCUUCGCGGACGCCCGGGCUGCGGCGAGCUCUCGAGAGCGCCAAGGCAACAGCGCUUGUCACCAACAGGUGGGGCUGGCCUGAGCGCGGGACGGCGGCGAGAGCUAUGACACAGAGAGCGGGCUUCGAGGACGCAGAGACCUGUGAUGUGCGCGGCUGCUGUGGUCCGCUUCAUUCAACCGCUUUGUGGACAAAGGUACUGCACAGAGAGUGGGUCGACCAGCGACCACCUCAAGGGCUGCAUGCUCAUGGUGCCAGAGCCGCUCUCCCCCAGACUCGUCCAGAUGCACAUUGAGACCCUGGAGGCGUGCACAGAGAGAGCAGAGGCUGCCCCCCAGUCCAGAAGCCCAAGCUGCUUCGGCCGCCUGCUGCCCGAGAGGAGUGUGUGCUGGACGGCCUUCGUGUCUACCUGUUGCCCGACGGGCGAGAGGAGGCGCGGGGGGCCGCGAGGCGGCGCCCCGCUGGCUGCGGCCGAAGGCGCCGUGGUUCCUCACCACAUACCGGGGUCAUCUUCACGCGGGAGCCCACCGACCCCUGGGUGAGCCUCGGGCUCUCAUUGGUGGUCCGCUCCUUCCCGGUGGCUGCGCUGACCAAGGAGAAGCGCAUCAGCGUCCAGACCCUGUGGACCAGCUCCUGCAGGACGGCUGCCAGCUGCGCUCCUGCGCACCUUCCCAGCUGCACAAGCUGCCGGUACCCCCCGACAUCGAGUAG